rnacentral:rRNA from 1 species
CAAGGAAUCUUCCGCAAUGGGGGCAACCCUGACGGAGCAACGCCGCGUGGGGGAUGACGCCCUUCGGGGUGUAAACCCCUUUUCUGCGGGAAGAAGGUGGGGCAACCCACUUGACGGUACCGCAGGAAGAAGGACCGGCUAACUACGUGCCAGCAGCCGCGGUAAUACGUAGGGUCCGAGCGUUGUCCGGAGUUACUGGGCGUAAAGCGCGCGCAGGCGGCGGUGCUGGCCCGGCGUGAAAGCCCCCGGCUCAACCGGGGAGGGUCGUCGGGGACCGCACCGCUUGAGGGCGGUAGGGGCUGGUGGAAUGCCUGGUGUAGUGGUGAAAUGCGUAGAGAUCAGGCGGAACACCCGUGGCGAAGGCGGCCAGCUGGGCCGUCCCUGACGCUGAGGCGCGAAGGCGUGGGGAGCGAACGG